rnacentral:rRNA from 1 species
CCUACGGGAGGCAGCAGUAGGGAAUCUUCCGCAAUGGACGAAAGUCUGACGGAGCAACGCCGCGUGAGUGAAGAAGGUUUUCGGAUCGUAAAACUCUGUUGUCAGGGAAGAACAAGUAUGGGAGUAACUGCCCGUACCUUGACGGUACCUGGCCAGAAAGCCACGGCUAACUACGUGCCAGCAGCCGCGGUAAUACGUAGGUGGCAAGCGUUGUCCGGAAUUAUUGGGCGUAAAGCGCGCGCAGGCGGCCUUUUAAAGUCUGAUGUGAAAGCCCCCGGCUCAACCGGGGAGGGUCAUUGGAAACUGGAAGGCUUGAGUGCAGAAGAGAAGAGCGGAAUUCCACGUGUAGCGGUGAAAUGCGUAGAGAUGUGGAGGAACACCAGUGGCGAAGGCGGCUCUUUAGGUCUGUAACUGACGCUGAGGCGCGAAAGCGUGGGGAGCAAACAGGAUUAGAUACCCUGGUAGUCCACGCCGUAAACGNUGAGUGCUAGUAGUUGGGGUUUACCGGUCCCGUCGUAGUGUCGUGC